rnacentral:rRNA from 1 species
GAUGAACGCUGGCGGCGUGCUUAACACAUGCAAGUCGAACGGAAAGGCCCUGCUUUUGUGGGGUGCUCGAGUGGCGAACGGGUGAGUAACACGUGAGUAACCUGCCCUUGACUUUGGGAUAACUUCAGGAAACUGGGGCUAAUACCGGAUAGGAGCUCCUGCUGCAUGGUGGGGGUUGGAAAGUUUCGGCGGUUGGGGAUGGACUCGCGGCUUAUCAGCUUGUUGGUGGGGUAGUGGCUUACCAAGGCUUUGACGGGUAGCCGGCCUGAGAGGGUGACCGGCCACAUUGGGACUGAGAGACGGCCCAGACUCCUACGGGAGGCAGCAGUGGGGAAUAUUGCACAAUGGGCGGAAGCCUGAUGCAGCAACGCCGCGUGCGGGAUGACGGCCUUCGGGUUGUAAACCGCUUUCGCCUGUGACGAAGCGUGAGUGACGGUAAUGGGUAAAGAAGCACCGGCUAACUAUGUG